GUUAGCACUCUGGACUCUGAAUCCAGCGAUCCGAGUUCAAAUCUCGGUGGAACCUGUCUUUUCCGUUUUUGAGAGCUUCAUUUGCAAGAAAUAGACGACUUUCUCCACAACACCAGCAAACUAACUAGAUCCUAUCAACCUGUGAAGGCCUCGUCGACAUGACAGCCAUCGGCACAGAUCCUCAGCAAAAACUACAAGAACCAGACAGGUCCUCCGCACAGACCAUACGGCCAGCUUCGGCUCCAUACCAGCCUGAUGAAUCCGAUCUUCAAACAAAAGGAACUGAACAAAAUAUUUGAAUGCUACCGAACCAAAAUCUGAUUUCUAACUUGUGAUGCACCCUGAAUCAUAAUCACACGUGUUUAUUCGUUGGAGGAGAAUGGGAAAACUCCCAAGUUUUUUUUUUUCUCCAUUCUGCUCUGAUAAGAGUUUGGGUUCAUUGCCAGUGUCGCCUCUGACAAGAACAAAUUUUGUGUGGGGCUUGAUUUUGACCAUUUGAGUCAAUGUGAUUUUUCUAUGAUCUCAUGUGAGUGACAGGUUGUCCCACCAUGAUGAAAGUGCACAACUGGGAUGGGAGGGGAAGUAAUUUUGAUUGAAGAUUACUAGGGCUCAUGGAUUAAAAUAAUAAUAAUGUCCACAGAUAAAUCAUAUUUGGCUUAUCAUAAAUUCUGCAAUAUUCCAUAAAAAACAAGAACUACUUUGA